UACGUAGGGGGCAAGCGUUGUCCGGAAUUAUUGGGCGUAAAGAGCGCGUAGGCGGUCCGGUAAGUCGGCUGUGAAAGUCAAGGGCUCAACCCUUGAAAGCCGGCCGAUACUGUCGGACUAGAGUCCGGAAGAGGCGAGUGGAAUUCCCGGUGUAGCGGUGAAAUGCGCAGAUAUCUGGAGGAAUACCGGUGGCGAAGGCGGCAUCCUGGACCGACAUUGACGCUGAACGGCGAAAGCUAGGGGAGCAAACGGG
rnacentral:rRNA from 1 species